CACCCAGACAAAACAGUGAGAACACCAUCAAAGCACAAUUUCUUCAUCAGUCUUCUUCAACUCCUAACCCCAAAAUUUCUUCAACCAUCGGAACCCUAACUCGCUCUCUCCAACUUAUUUGCGACCCCCUCGUACUCCACCGCACUCCGACACAAUUCCUGCUUUGUAGGUAGCCUCUACAAAGAACCGAAGAAUUAGUUAGUGAGGAGAGGAAGAUGAAUGAGAGGAAGUAGUUAGCAAUCGUCUCCUUCUCAUGGACGAGAGCUUAAUCGCAGUCCCCUUGCCUCGUCACGUUUCUGUUCCAGAAGACUGAGAUUAGCCUCUCGGAUUUCCCAUACGGCGUGCCGUUUCUGGUUUGAGAUAUCGCUCGGGUCUUCGAUUCGAUCAAUAUGAGUGAUGCGGAUUGGGAGUUCAUUGCUGAGGAGGACGAACGAUGUGUGUGGCUCUUAUGAUGGAAUGGCCUGAUGUUCAUUACAGGACUUUGGCCCGCCUCAUAUCCAAGCAUGCUUGGCUCUACUCUAAGAUGCUUGCUGCCGAAACCAUUGUUUAUCAGAAGGACAAUAUGUUUUGGAUGUCCCAGCCAAGAGUAGCUGGACAUAGGUGCUUUGGUUCUCGUCCUAUGCUGGAUCCAAAGAUCGGAAAGAGACAUGUGUCUAACUGUGUAACAUAGACCAGAUGUCCUCAUGAGUGCUUAGUUUGAAGGAGAAAGCCCUGAUUGAUUUUGCAGAUUAUCCUGAUAAUGUUCACUUAAUGCAAAUGCAAUGGCAGGCUACUAUAGGACCAUGUAACACACCAGAGCCGAAUGCUUGGAAUGCAGUAGAGAAAAGCAAAUGGAGCAGGAAGAAGAUCCAGGUUCGUAUUCAAGAGCAUCAAACUCUGUUUCUGAGCCUGUGAUAGAUGUACAACUAAUUAAUUUCAUUCAAGCUAUGUGGACUCAUGGCUGACAAAAUGGGGGACAUGCUGCCCCGUGUGUAAGCAUGAUAUGAGAACAAAAUAUGUGAAUCCUGAGCUCGUUCAUGACGCUCCACUAGGGCAUGCUAAUAUGCGCGUUUCUAUCUAUGCCGCACUUGAGGAGAAAGCAAAAGUGUCAUUUUCAGUGAAAGACGAAAUUGAAACAGUGAAGCAGGCUUUGGGGAGUUGGGUAGCAUGGCCUAAACACUUGGUCAUAAAAUCACAUGUCAAGGUUAGAACUCAGUAUAAUUCUGUCACGCCCCUGAUUUUCCACACAGUAAAAUCGAUAUAUAUAAUCUCAUAAUUAUACAUGCGUGAACGUUCAGUCAUCAAUACAAAAUACCUGGAAACUUUUUCUCCUUUUAACUACACACAUAUUGAUGCCCUGAACCUACUAUGUCAAUAUUGACCCGCUCCGUAGAGUCAUAUAUUACAUAAGCUUAGGAAUUAAAUUGCCAACACAAUAUAAAACGUAACUGCUCCUCAGAGUUUACUACACAACGGAAGUCAUAAAAAUGGAAAAGCCAACCAAAUAUGCUUCCUACCCGUUCUGCUGCCAACAAGCCACCUCAGCUUCAGCCACGAUCACCCUGACCUGCAAGAUUAACCCUACACAAUUCCAUUGAAUAGUGCACCGGGUUGCCACACAACAAACCCGGUAAGCUUAUGAAGCUCGUAUGAGUAAACUCAAAACCACAAAGCAAAACACAUUUCUUAAGUCACCUCAAUCUAAACACGAUAUACACAAAGCUCACACCUGCGGCCAUCAAUUCCAUAAUCUUCCAUAUCGUGCCUACAUAAGUCAACUGGUGACUACAGCCACAUGCUUAGAUUCUCAACUAGCGUUCCAUUACACAAAUUCAAUCAAACAAGACUUCCUCAAUAAAUGUUUGAUGCCAUUCUAACGCCCUACGGCGAAUCCCAAACCACGCUCAUUCCCUCCCCACUAGGAGCUUUUGUCAUCAAUAUGACAUCAAAGGUGAAAACAAUAAAUCACCUUCCUAUCCUCACACAGAGUACAAUCGUCAUCACUAUGACCUUAAAGAUCAAUCAAAACCAUUCAUAGUAACCCCUGCGUGCAAUUUAGUUCAGGAAGUCACAGCAAAACAAGCAAAACAAUUCAGAGUAACCCCUGCGUGCAAUUUAGUUCAGGAAGUCACAACAAAACAAACAAAACAAUUCAUAGUAACCCCUGCGUGCAAUUUAGUUCAGGAAGUCACAGCAAAACAAGCAAAACAAUUCAUAGUAACCCCUGCGUGCAAUUUAGUUCAGGAGGUCACAUUAAUACAAACAAUUCAAGUCAAAGUAGUCAUCGAAAUUCCACACUCUGACGUCUGUAGGUAGCCCCGACCAUCACAGCAGUCAUCUCGAUUAUUGUUAACUUAAUAACAAUCCAGCUCUGCUACCGAGUUGUCAUCACACUGAUCAUCACAUAGAUUUCACCGAUCAUCACAUAGAUAGCCAUCAUCCUACUGAUCAUCACACAGAUAUCACCAGUCAUCACACAGAUAGCGAUCAUCCAACUAAUCAUCACACAGAUAUCGCCGGUCAUCACACAGAUAGCGAUCAUCACGCAUAUUCAUCACACAGAUAUCGUCGGUCAUCACACAGAUAGCGAUCAUCACAUAGAUUCAUUGUUAGUCAUCACACAGAUAGCAAUCAUCACACAAUUAUCCCUACACAAGCUACACAGAUAAUUCUACACAAUCUUUACAUGACAAUCAUCACAAAGAUUCAUCAUACUGAUGUCAUCAAUUCAUCACACAGAUAUUCCUACACAAGCUUCACAUGGCAAUCAUCACAAAGAUUCAUCACACUGAUUUCAACGAUUCAUAACACAAAUAUUCCUACACAAGCUUCACAUGGAAAUCAUCACAAAGAUUCAUCACGAAGUCACUAAUACAUGAAUACAUAUGUAUAUAUAUAUAUAUAUAUAUAUAUACCCCAUAAUAUAUAUAUACACACACAUAGUCAUCCACUCAGAAAUGCCACUAAUAUCAUCUAUAGUCACAGUUAAUCCCAUAACUCCAAGACAAUAUGGUAACUAGGCUCGUAACACAUAUCGCGAGAUUUACUCACCUCGAAACUCCCGCUGCGUCUUCAAUACAGAACAAAGCAGCCAAUCACAAUAGCCGUCCAAAGAAUACUUCGUCAAGUACCUAAGGAAACACAACUCUGAUUCAGUUACCAAAUCACAAGGAAUAACGUUCGAAACCUUAAAUCGAACCAAAAUUCCCGAGGUGACGCCAAUCGAGGCGAAACCACAUCCGAGACCUCCCAAAGUCUCCGAAACACUUCCACGAUCGAUGUGUCCUAGCCACAAGUCGAUCCGAUGCUUAAAUCCUCAAGGAUUUGAAUAAAUUCACCGAUAUGAAACGGUGAAAAUCAUAACAAAUCCAUACGAACUCCAAAAUCUGCAUAUUAUAUAUCAAAACGCUCGUAUCGACGAGUAGAAAACAUAUAAUACCGAAACAAUCCCAUACAUGGCCGGAACAUCGCCGGAACGCUGCCACAGACGGAGGCGCACCGCCGCCAGCCAAAACUCAUUAUUUCACAAAACUCCCAACAUCAAAAAGCUUCAUCUAAGCAUGCUUGUGAAAUCUCAUAACUAGCUCGGAGUCAGAAAACAACCAUAAGGGAUCGAAAACUACCUCACAAGCCGUGAACAGUAAUCCAAUCCGAGUUGACCCAACUUUUACGUGAAUCGAUCCAAACAACCACCAAGGAUCGAUCAAGGAGGCUGCUCUGAGUUCCCCAAGCCCAGCUAGAAGCCCCGCCGACGUCGGAGCUGCGUUUUCCGGUUGGGUCGAAAAACCUCCAACUGCACCGCCUUUCACCGCCGCCACCACCGAGAAUCGGCGCUAGAGGACACCACAGGGUCCGCGCACGGAGGUGAGGCGAACUAAUCUGAGCUCGUCUGGUGGUCUGCCGUCGCCGGAGCUCGCCGGAAAAUCCAGGUCGGAUCACCGGGUUCGGGUCGGGUCGAGCGCGGGUGAUGAGAGAGAACGAAGGAUUUUUCUGAGUUUCCGGAAAUGGAUACUUACCAAAAUGGAAAUAGUAAUUUUCCCGAAACGGAAACCCCUAUAUAUAGUAACUUUCCAAAAUCUUAAAAUACUCAUAACUUUCUUAUACAAACUCCGAUUUCCGCGUUCCACAUGUCCCCGAAAUCGUAUUGACGCGCUCUACAACUUUUGUGAAGGAAGUUUUCAGAGAAUCUCAACGUAUCAAAAGUCAACCUUUGCAACCUCCCUAAAGUCAUACUUUUCGAAUAAAAAUUCGUCCGAAACACCUCCGCUCCGUCCACGAGCCACGAAACCGUCCAACAAUCACAAUUUAAAUUCCGGAAAAUCCUCGGAAAAUAAAUACGAAUUUCCGGGGCAUCACAAAUUCAACCUAACUACUUUGAUAAAAUUCAUUUGUUUGAAGAUAUUUACUCUUUAGAUAUGUAGCAUAUAUUUGUGAUAUGUACCUUACAUUUAUUUUCUUAUUUUGGAAACCUGCCGAGGAUAAUGUUGAGAAGAAGAAGAAAAGGAAAGAAAUAGGGGAGGAGAGGCAGCAACCAAUACACCCAAGCGGAUACUGAUCAAGUGCGAAAUGAGUGGGGGAAGUUUGUUGUCAACACAUAUGUGCAUGAGCCAUGAAGUAGCACGUUUGUUACUGGUCCAUUUUUGCUAAGGAAAGCAUCUUUUUUUUGUGCUUCUCUGCUGGUACAUUGUCAUGCACCAUGUGUUGCAUGUUUUAGAACAAUGGAUAUAUAUGUAUCAGCUUGAUGUCUCAAGUAGAUGGGCAUGCACUAGAAUGCUUUUCUUUUUUAAAAUGUUGGGUUCAAUGAUUAGUGGUUUGCAAUGUUUAUAUUUGGUAUGUAAAUGGAUCAAAUGCACAA